AAACCAUGGUGGGGGCACAAUCUCAUUAACUCCUUGAACCUAUCCCAAGCUUCAUACAAUGAUACACCAUCGCUUUGAGAAAAACCAAUAAUUUGGUUCCACAAUUGAGUAG